UAGGAGGGGAAAAAUCGGAGGGGGAAAAACAUAUCAACUUUUGUCAUCUUUUUUUUUAAUUUUGGUAGGACAUAUCAAAAUAAGGAGAUUGAUAAUAAUUACAAAAUUAUUUGCAAACUUAAGAAAACAAAUACGUAUUGUAUUGGUCCAUAGUAAGUAAAUAGUAUAAAAGAUAAAACUAAUUAGUAUCAAUAUUUACAAAUUAUUCAUUUUACUAUCACUUGAUAUGUAACAUAUCAUGUUCUGGCUACUUAAACUUUUCUUAAUUUUGACAUAUCAACUUAUGCCACUGCAUAUAACACCUUCACUUUUCACUUAGGCACAUAUCUUCUUAUGUCACCUUGUUAAACAUCCUUUUUAUUUGAAAUUGAAAACCAAAAACACGAAUUUUUGGACAUAUCAACUUCUGCCAUAACACCACAGAUUUAAUAUGCUUAUUUAAUUUAAAAAUAAAAUUAUUCUCUCAUACCCCUUUCGUGACCGGCUGACACGAUCGUGAGCUCAUGUUUAUGUGAGUAUCAAUAUCAAAAUAAACAUAUUUUUACUAGGAAAGAUGAUAUCAAUAUGUUGUGUCUAUCGUGUAUUAUCAGAGUAACUGAAAUUAUUUAACUUUAACGAAUUCCCGCUUACUUUGCAAUAGAAUACCCUUAAAAGAAGGCUGUGUAUUUUGACGACAAAACCGAUAAAGGUGUGCCUCUCGCCCACAAUUUGGCUCUAGAGGUGUGAAAUGAUGGUAACUAGUCCGAAAUAGAAGAUUUAGAUGGCGAAAAUGAUGUUGCUUUUGACGUUGAAAUGUUUAAAAAUAACACCGAUGACAAUGAUAUUGAAGAAACUGUAUUAGAAGAAGAACCUGUAUUGAAUGAAGAACCUGUUCCCUUAACGAGCUCUUCUUGAGCAAAGAGGCAAUGGAAAGACAUGACAUUUCAGCAAAAAAAAUUUGUUCUAUUUUAGUUAGUAUGUAAUAGCAUAUUAAACAAUUAUAAAAAUAAUGUUUAUUUGUCCCUAAUGGUGUUUUACGUUUAAUAAAAAUGAAUUUUUUCAUACACUUACGAUCCUGCAUUCAUAGAACAUAAGCCCAGAGCGCACGAACGUGACAUGUCAUUUGUGACAGAUUCAAACAAUGAAUUUUUUUCUGCAUUUUCUACACUUUUUUUAGAUACCGUAUAUCGUAUUUAUUCAAAGGGAAACUUCAUUUUCACU
rnacentral:lncRNA from 1 species